rnacentral:rRNA from 1 species
GACGAACGCUGGCGGCGUGCUUAACACAUGCAAGUCGAACGGAAAGGCCCUGCUUUUGUGGGGUGCUCGAGUGGCGAACGGGUGAGUAACACGUGAGUAACCUGCCCUUGACUUUGGGAUAACUUCAGGAAACUGGGGCUAAUACCGGAUAGGAGCUCCUGCUGCAUGGUGGGGGUUGGAAAGUUUCGGCGGUUGGGGAUGGACUCGCGGCUUAUCAGCUUGUUGGUGGGGUAGUGGCUUACCAAGGCUUUGACGGGUAGCAGGGCUGAGUGGGUGACAGGCCACACUGGGAUUGAGAUACGGCACAGACUCCUACGGGAGGCAGCAGUGGGGAAUAGUGCACAAUGGGCGGAAGCCUGAUGCAGCAACGCCGCGUGCGGGAUGACGGCCUUCGGGUUGUAAACCGCUUUCGCCUGUGACGAAGCGUGAGUGACGGUAAUGGGUAAAGAAGCACCGGCUAACUACGUG